rnacentral:rRNA from 1 species
CCUACGGGUGGCUGCAGUCGAGGAUCUUCGUCAAUGGGCGCAAGCCUGAACCAGCCAUCCCGCGUGCAGGAUGAAGGCCCUAUGGGUUGUAAACUGCUUUUGUACACCAAGAAAACUCGUGACGUGUCACGAUCUGACGGUAGUGUAUGAAUAAGCAUCGGCUAACUCCGUGCCAGCAGCCGCGGUAAUACGGAGGAUGCAAGCGUUAUCCGGAUUCAUUGGGUUUAAAGGGUGCGUAGGCGGCCUUUUAAGUCAGUGGUGAAAUCCUGCCGCUUAACGGUAGAAUUGCCAUUGAUACUGAAAGGCUUGAGUUCAGUUGAGGUAAGCGGAAUGUGUAGUGUAGCGGUGAAAUGCUUAGAUAUUACACAGAACACCAAUUGCGAAGGCAGCUUACUAAACUGACACUGACGCUGAUGCACGAAAGCGUGGGGAGCGAACAG